AAGCAAGAUUCAUUAGAAUGAUCAUAGCCAGUUAAAGUACAAUACUGAUUAAGAAGGAAUUUAACUACCAACUGAGACUAAAACGAUGAACACUCCACGAGGUUGGCCACAGAUAUGUAUACUGAUUUUUUGGCAGAAGGACGGCCACGGAUGACAGGCCUGUAAAUUGCAAAUGUGGUAAGCACAAUUUCUAUCCAAUUCAGAAACAAAAAUAGAAAGCCAACUGAGCACCAACUAAUAUGUGAGGAGGCCUCAUCUUUGCAGCCAAAUGUGGAGAGAACUGUCUUACAGUUCUUGUUACCUUUUCACUGAAA
rnacentral:misc_RNA from 1 species